UCCCAUAUGAAAAGGUCGGGAAUGCUCGUCGGCUCAAUUAGGGGUAUAGAUCAAGGAUUCUGGUCUCGCUUAGGGUGUUCAUAACAAAACACCACUAUUUUUAGCUGUCAGAGUAUCUUUAAAGGUUCGCAGGUGAUGUCAAACACAGAAUAACGUGCGAAGCCAAGUGAAUCAUUAAAUGGGCCCUUUCUACGAUGUCACGCUUUUCCAAUUGUUUCAUUCAAACAAAAAACAAGCCUCACCGCUCGAUUUAUCAUGCCGAACUUUUAACUAUACAAAGCUUCAUAAGAAUCAGUUGCAAACUCGUGAGAAUAUUGGACCCUUAACUGCCAAAUUUCACAAAGAAAUGCAUGCAACGCCUGCCCCAGGCAUACAUAGCUUUGCUAAUACAUGUUACCUUCGAAAGAGAAUAAAAAAACAAACCAACCAAAAGAAAGCUAUCAAAACUCAAUCCAAACAAAACCUCACUUUUAUUUUGAAUAACUGCUGGAGCUCAAGAAACACAAAGCCGAGCGAAAAAAUAGCUCUCGACAGACUUGGAAAAACAGCAUUUGCGUCUUUGAUAGUAUUCCUGAAACUUCCUGACUAAUGUCGUUGAGUUGUGACGCGGUGCAUCAUCGAUAAUAAAAACUAAAACACCCUCUCAUCAUUUCUUUAUUUCUCAGACCAYCUCAGUGUCAUUCUCGGCGUAUCCGGAGCGUGUCUACUACUUAUAGUCGUCUUCGUUCUCUUGAUCUGCGCUAAAAGACGCGUGAAAGAGCAGGAAAUUUUCCACAAAAAGUGGAUUAUUGAUUACAAAGAGAUUGCGCCAUCAGAUGACCCAGACGACAAUUCCACCAUCCCCAGCAAUUGUCAUCAGAUAAGUCGUCAAGGCUCCAUGAUUAGUAUUCUUCCUUCCUCUUUUUCGUCGAGACUUAAAGGCGUUUUUCGCGGCAAGGCUGUAUUAGUGAAGAGAGUUUGUGAUGGAACUUCUCAUCUUACAGAUAAUAUGAAAGCAGAAAUACGUCAGGUACAUAUCCUUGUAACUAUAUACUAUGCUAACCUCUUAC